AUCCUGCCAGUAGUCAUAUGCUUGUCUCAAAGAUUAAGCCAUGCAUGUCUAAGUAUAAGCACUUGUACUGUGAAACUGCGAAUGGCUCAUUAAAUCAGUUAUUGUUUACUUGAUUGUACAAUGCUUACAUGGAUAUCUGUGGUAAUUCUAGAGCUAAUACAUGCGAAAGGUCCCGACCUCUGGAAGGGAUGUAUUUAUCAGCUUUUAAACCGAUGGAGUCCUUGUGGCUCUUAUUAUUGACGAAUCAUGAUAACUGUUCGAAUCGCACGGCCCUUGUGCUGGCGAUGUUUCUUUCAAAUUUCUGCCCUAUCAACUGUCGAUGGUAUGGUAGUGGCUUACCAUGGUUGUUACGGGUGACGGAGAAUCAGGGUUCGGUUCCGGAGAGGGAGCCUGAGAAACGGCUACCACAUCUAAGGAAGGCAGCAGGCACGGAAAUUACCCAAUCCCAAUUCGGGGAGGUAGUGACAAGAAAUAACGAUACGGGGUCUUUACAGGUCUCGCAAUCGGAAUGAGUACAAUUUAAAUCCUUUAACGAGGAUCCAAUGGAGGGCAAGUCUGGUGCCAGCAGCCGCGGUAAUUCCAGCUCCAUUAGCGUAUAUUAAAGUUGUUGCAGUUAAAAAGCUCGUAGUUGGAUUUCAGUAUGGGCCAGUUGGUCGGCCGCAAGGCCUGUUACUGACUGGUCUGUUCUUCUUCUCAAAGACUGCAUGUGCUCUUCGCUGAGUGUGUGUAGGAUUUGGGACGUUUACUUUGAAAAAAUUAGAGUGUUCAAGGCAGGCUUGUAAGCUUGAAUACAUGAGCAUGGAAUAAUGGAAUAGGACUACGGUCCCUAUUUCGUUGGUUUGGAGGACCGAAGUAAUGAUUAAGAGGGACAGUUGGGGGCAUCCGUAUUUCGUAGUCAGAGGUGAAAUUCUUGGAUCUACGAAAGACGAACAACUGCGAAAGCAUUUGCCAAGAGUGUUUUCAUUAAUCAAGAACGAAAGUUAGAGGAUCGAAGACGAUCAGAUACCGUCCUAGUUCUAACCGUAAACGAUGCCGACUAGGGAUCAGUGGGUGUUAUUGUACGACCCCAUUGGCACCUCACGGGAAACCAAAGUGUUUGGGUUCCGGGGGAAGUAUAGUCGCAAGGCCGAAACUUAAAGGAAUUGACGGAAGGGCACCACCAGGAGUGGAGCCUGCGGCUUAAUUUGACUCAACACGGGAAAACUCACCAGGUCCAGACAUAGUAAGGAUUGACAGGUUGAGAGCCCUUUCUUGAUUCUAUGGGUGGUGGUGCA
rnacentral:rRNA from 1 species